GCCAUCUCUCUCUCUCUCGUUUAUUGGAUCCCAUCGCAUCAGACUAGCAGCCCCAUCCCUUUCUCUCCUUCCUCGGUCUCUCUUUCUCGAUUAUACCGGCGGCGAAGCUCCAGCGGACGGCGAGCAGCAGGCGGCGACGGCGGGUUGCUGCGACGGUGGCGUCUCCCUCCUCUCCGGCGAACAGAGCAGCGAGAAGCUUCAGUCCCACGUCUCCUCUGUUUUCCGGCGACGAGCAGGCUCCGGUGGGCAGUGACGGCGACGGUGGGGUGGCGCGACAGUGUUGAUGGAUGACCAGCAGCGUGUGGGUCUUCUUCAGCGUAGCUUGAAUUCGAAGAGAUGUGAGAUUAUGAAGCUAAGUUGAUGAGUUGAUUUCUAUUAAGUUUGGUAUUGAUGAUGAAGCAUGAUACGACUUAAUGAAGAUUAAAGGACGGAUUAUUGAUUAUAAGAUAACUAAGAUGGUGAUUAAGCUUAAUGACAGGUGAUUUGUGAUAAUGGUGUUUAAUCAUUGAUGAUGAUAUGAUGAUGAUUAAGCUCCUCAAUGAUUGGAUUAUGACUAAUGAUGGAGUUUAAUAUGGAUAAUGAUGUGAUUAGUUGUUGAUAAUAAAGGUUUAAGGAUUUUAUGUUGAUUAAGGAAUGAUGGAUGGUUGAUAAUGUUAAUAACGGUGUGUGGAUUAGAAUAUGAUUAUGAUUCAUGGGAAUUAUGUUUAAUGAUAAUGAGUAUGAUUAGUCCAUGAUCUAGUGGUGGUUGUGAUGUUAAUGAUGAAUAUUGGAUUAGAGGACUAAAGAAUGGUUAAUGAUUAGAUUAUAAGUAGAAGAGUGAGGUAAUGUUAUGGCUAAUUAAGGAUUAAUGAAGUUAAUGCGGUGUUUAAAGAUUAAUUAGGAUGAUAUUUAUGCUAAUGAUGAUUAUGAUGGUUGAUGAGAAGGAAAAUGGACUAAAGGUUAAUUAUAAUUAAAUGAUGAUGAUUAUACGUGAUGAUGAUGGGAUUAUAAAUUAAUGGUGGCUUAUGAUGGAUUAUGAGGUUAAUAGAGCUCGAUUAUGGAUUAAUGGUGGUUCAAUCUUGAUUAUGCAUGAUAAUGAAUGGGAUGAUGGUGAGUUAAAGAUGAUAAUGAGUUUGAUGGUGAUGACUGAGUUGUGGAAGGUGGAUUAAUUAUGAAAAAUGAGGGUGAUUGGAUUAAUAUGAUAAUAGUGGCGAUUGGAGUGUGGUGAUGUAUUAUUGAUGCUAUGCUAGUUAGAUGAUAGGUAUGGUGAAGUGAUAAUUAUUAUGAGUCUUAAUUAAUUAAGGAUUAUGAAUUAAUGAAGUUUGAUUAUGAUAAUGAUGAGGUUAAUGAUUAGGAUGUGAUAAUUUUAUAAUGAUGACUAGUAAUGGUUUGAUGAUGACUAAGUUUUAAUUAUGGAUUAAUAAUGGUUGUUGGUCUAAUGAUGAAGGUUAUGGACUAUGGAUAAAACUAAUGAUUUAAAUAAAAGUUAUUAAAGUUAGUAAUGAUUUUUGGAUAGUUAUGGGUUAUCAUUGGAGGUACGGGGAUUAUUGUUGAUGGUGGAGAAAGGUGUUAGAAUUCUUGUUAAUAAAAGAUGAAGAGGAUUGGACUAAUGGAGUAUUGAUGGGUUAAGAUAAUGGUUGUGAGAAUAUGACGGAAUGGAUUAGCAUAGCUAUUAAUAUUAAUAUUAAUAGUUAAUGAGUAAAGGUUGUAUUGAUUCGAAGGUUCUCAUUGAAGUGACUAGUUUGUGAGUGAGCCUAGAUUGGAGCUUAACUUUGAGGUCUUGGUGUAAGGUGACUCGUUUUGAGAGCGCGGCGUAGAGCUAGUACCCUUGGAGAAAAUCAUGAGUAUAAAUGGUUUAGUUAGAACUUGAUCUAUUAUAUUUUAGUGAAUUGUAUUAUCAAUUUUAAUAUAAUGUCCUCGCAAGUGCACGAGUCAAUUGUAGCAAUAGUGUGCAGAAUGCAAGGGUCGAACCCACAGGGAAUUAAUACUA